rnacentral:rRNA from 1 species
UACGGGGGGGGCAAGCGUUGUUCGGAAUUACUGGGCGUAAAGGGCUCGUAGGCGGCCAACUAAGUCAGACGUGAAAUCCCUCGGCUUAACCGGGGAACUGCGUCUGAUACUGGAUGGCUUGAGGUUGGGAGAGGGGCGUGGAAUUCCGGGUGGAGCGGUGAAAUGCGUAGAGAUCCGGAGGAACACCGACGGCGUAGGCAGCGCCCUGGACGACACCUGACGCUGAGGCACGAAAGCUGGGGGAGCGAACAGG